UAAAUACCACAGUAUAGCUCUACCUUCAGCUUAAAACAUAGAAUUUGACUCAUUUUGAAUAAAUUUUAGCCAAUGGCUAAAGAGUAAGAUACUACGUAAACCAGUAGAGUACUACGUAGCAGCUCUGUGUCAAAGUUAUAAAAGCAACGAGCGUCUCGGCCACGCCUUGUGGCGAGUUGGGAGUUGAAUUUGCAAGCGGUUAGCGGUAGUUCAGCAUUAGCAUAUAGCAUUAGCAUAUCCUAGUCUUUAGCAUAGCUUUUAGUGUUAUAAAUACUUAUUUCGUGUUAGUUUGGCUGUUGGAUAUUGUAGUUUAGUUAGUGUUUGGCUGUUAGUGUUAUUAGGAAAGUAGUUCAGGUUUAGUGCUCCAUAUCGUGUUAGUAUGGUGAGAAGGUGUAUUGUAGUAUGGUUGCGGUGGCUCUGUGGGGUUGUACUCCUUUCCGCUAGACUUAGAAAUUAGGCGCCAGUGGUUGCGCGCAAUCGGUGUCUGGAAAACAUUCAGCUCCCGCCUGAUGCUGUAGUUUGCAACCAGCAUUUUACCCACGAUUCUGCACGCCUCCGUUUGAAGAGGGAGGCUGUGCCCACCGUGGCUCUUCCGCGAUUUAGAUGCAGCCCACCGACUCUGCUCCCCCACCACGGCGGGCUCCAGUCUGAGGUAAGCGAAAUAAAAGUUUUAACAUCUUCUAAAGACAAUUCCCUACCUAAAUGCAAAGUUUGAGAGACGUGGUUCACUUCCUUUAGCUAGUCAGUCGGUAAUUCUGCAAAAGUGGCUCUAACUGACGCAGCACUAGUUGACAGACAGCAUUACAGUGUGAAAUCCAGCUUGUGACCCGGUUCUGUAAGAAAUUCUGUUCAGGAGGUCGCAUUUCAGGCUCUCCACAUCAUAUGUAACUUGACUUUUAUGUUAUAACAACGAUCACACACUAGGAAUGUUAUAAAGCACCUAUAUAGGACAGUUUCUUUUGUAUAUUAUCUGACUUUAUAAACUCCCAACAACAAUGUGCUUCUAUUUUUUUUUUUCAGGCUAAAUCUACCCAAGACACUGGCUGUCAGACUGAUUUAGCUGCAGGAAUGCACUUGUCCAGGCUGACGUGAAGCCUUAAGGUUGGUUUUUGCUUGACGCGUCCGCGAGGUCCGCACGGCUCCGCGCGGAAAAGUCGCGUCAUUUUGCGUCAUUUUAACAACCACGCCCCUCCGCCGCGCCUCCGCACGGCCCAGAAUUUCCGCAAAGCGCACCUCGGAAAAUUUCUAACCACGCGGACGGUCGGACGCGGAAAAACAUGGCGGACCGGCAAGAACUAGUACGGCACAGGUUCGUAAAUACAGACAUUUGUAUGAUUCAGCUCUCAGAGAUCACCGUGAUCAACAUGUUGUUAAUAAUUCUUGGAGAGAAAUAGCUCACACUGUCGGAAAAGACGAGAACGCUGUUAAAAAUGCUGAAAUGCCGUGUUGUAAACAGUCAUUUCUACUUCUACUAUGGUGUAGUGUUGGAUGCAUGCUGUAGAGCUCCAUGCUGCCCCUACAGUUUGGAAAAUAUUGGCUCACCGCAGAGACGAGCCACACAAACCAUAAACGCUGCGAGUUGUGAAGCGUGUUCCAGCCGCGAGCCGCAUCACUGCACGGAAAGUGAAUGCGUCAAGCAUAAACCAAGCUUUACCCGUAGCAAAGGUGAAUUAUUUUUAAUAAUCUUCUAUGUAAACAUUUUAUUAUUACCUUCUAGUUUUAAUUUGUUUUACAGAUUAUUGUUACACGUGAUUUUAUGCUCUUUUAAACAUUUAUAAAUGUGCUGUUUCUUUGUUUUUUAGAUAGCCACCCAGAAUAGAGCUCACAGCCGCAGUGUGUCUUGUGACACAGGGACCAUGACGGAAAUUCAUCUUCCAGAAAGUCCCAGAGCAGCGUCCACACCCCUGAAAAGACCAAGAUGUGAGGUGUCUGCUGUUGAUUCCAGCUUCCACCUCAGUGGCAGUGCAAGCUCAGUGACCUGUUCAAGGUAAAAAAAAUUAAAACAUUUCAGAAUUUUUAAGAUAUUAACAAUUAAAUAAGUAUGUGAUUACAUCAUGACAUCAUGAAGGAGGCUACUGAUUCUGGCCCUGUGACACUUGGUGGUGACGUGUGAGCUGAUUCACCUGGUAAAUAACUUUUACAUUAAAUAUUUUGUUUUUGCUAUCAAAAGUAAAUUAACUAAUAACCUGCAUUAUUGCAGGACACUCAGCAAAAUAUGGACUCUACACCAUGAGGCAGGCACACGUUAAUACUCUAUAAGAGCACAUAAGCAUGAGGAUGUCCUCACACACCUGUAACCUAUCAGCUCAUCUGGCAGAAUAGAGAGAAGAGACAACACCACAUCUCCUGUUCCUGGAAAGCCUUCAGCCUUCCUUCGAUGACUGAGAACCUCCAUCAGCUCUGUCUCCUGUCUGCCUACAAUUAUUAUAAUAAAUAUUGUGUUUGACAA